CCUCCUUUCUUCCUUCUUUUUGCCUCUUGCGCCAUGGGCGGACGCCUGCCGCAGCGACGCCGCGUGCGGGACGAAGGCCUUCGGGUCGUAAACCGCUUUCAGCAGGGACGAGGCCCUCCCGGUGACGGUACCUGCAGAAGAAGCCCAGGCUAACUACGUGCCAGCCGCCGCGGUAAUACGUAGUGGGCGAGCGUUAUCCGGUUUCAUUGGGCGGAAAGCGCGCGUAGUCGGCAUGUUAGGUCGGGGGUCAAAUACCGGGGCUCAACCCCGGACCGCCCCCGAACCCGGCAGGCUGGAGUCUGGGAGGGGAAGGCGGAAUUCCCAGUGUAGCGGUGGAAUGCGCAGAUAUUGGGAAGAACACCGGCGGCGAAGGCGGCCUUCUGGGCCACGACUGACGCUGAGGCGCGAAAGCGAGGGGAGCGAACAGGAUUAGAUACCCUUGUAGUC
rnacentral:rRNA from 1 species